UACGAAGGGGGCUAGCGUUGCUCGGAAUUACUGGGCGUAAAGGGCGCGUAGGCGGACAGUUUAGUCAGAGGUGAAAGCCCAGGGCUCAACCUUGGAAUUGCCUUUGAUACUGGCUGUCUUGAGUUCGGGAGAGGUGAGUGGAAUGCCGAGUGUAGAGGUGAAAUUCGUAGAUAUUCGGCGGAACACCAGUGGCGAAGGCGACUCACUGGCCCGAUACUGACGCUGAGGCGCGAAAGCGUGGGGGAGCAAAACAGG
rnacentral:rRNA from 1 species